rnacentral:rRNA from 1 species
CGAUUAGAGUUUGAUCCUGGCUCAGGACGAACGCUGGCGGCGUGCUUAAUACAUGCAAGUCGAACGGGGUCCAACUAGUAGCAAUACUAGGGAAGACCUAGUGGCGAACGGGUGCGUAACACGUGAGCAACCUGCCUCGAAGACUGGAAUAACACCGGGAAACCGAUGCUAAUACCGGAUACCCCCACGGACCCGCAUGGGUCUGUGAGGAAAGGAUUCUGCUUCGAGAGGGGCUCGCGGCCUAUCAGCUUGUUGGUGGGGUAACGGCCUACCAAGGCAACGACGGGUAGCUGGUCUGAGAGGACGAUCAGCCACACUGGGACUGAGACACGGCCCAGACUCCUACGGGAGGCAGCAGUAGGGAAUCUUGCGCAAUGGGCGAAAGCCUGACGCAGCAACGCCGCGUGGGGGAUGAAGGCCCUCGGGUUGUAAACUCCUUUCAGUGGGAACGAAAUUGACGGUACCCACAGAAGAAGCCCCGGCUAACUACGUGCCAGCAGCCGCGGUGAUACGUAGGGGGCGAGCGUUGUCCGGAUUCACUGGGCGUAAAGAGCUCGUAGGCGGCUUGAUAAGUCGGGUGUGAAACCCCCAGGCUCAACCUGGGAUCGCCACUCGAUACUGUCAUGGCUAGAGUCCGGUAGGGACCAUGGAAUUCCUGGGG